GUGCUCACUUCAGUAGCACAUAUAUUAAAGCUGAAGCGAUACAGAGAAGAUUAGCAUGGCCCCUGUGCAAGGAUGACACACAAAUUUGUGAAGCAUUUCAUAUCUUG
ensembl:snRNA U6 U6 spliceosomal RNA